UGAGGUUGGUACUUGUACCGACUGGAUGAGCAGCGAACGGGUGAGUAACGCGUGGGGAAUCUGCCUUUGAGCGGGGGACAACAUUUGGAAACGAAUGCUAAUACCGCAUAAAAACUUUAAACACAAGUUUUAAGUUUGAAAGAUGCAAUUGCAUCACUCAAAGAUGAUCCCGCGUUGUAUUAGCUAGUUGGUGAGGUAAAGGCUCACCAAGGAGAUGAUACAUAGCCGACCUGAGAGGGUGAUCGGCCACAUUGGGACUGAGACACGGCCCAAACUCCUACGGGAGGCAGCAGUAGGGAAUCUUCGGCAAUGGACGAAAGUCUGACCGAGCAACGCCGCGUGAGUGAAGAAGGUUUUCGGAUCGUAAAACUCUGUUGGUAGAGAAGAACGUUGGUGAGAGUGGAAAGCUCAUCAAGUGACGGUAACUACCCAGAAAGGGACGGCUAACUACGUGCCAGCAGCCGCGGUAAUACGUAGGUCCCGAGCGUUGUCCGGAUUUAUUGGGCGUAAAGCGAGCGCAGGUGGUUUAUUAAGUCUGGUGUAAAAGGCAGUGGCUCAACCAUUGUAUGCAUUGGAAACUGGUAGACUUGAGUGCAGGAGAGGAGAGUGGAAUUCCAUG
rnacentral:rRNA from 1 species